GACUUGGAGUCAAGAUGUGCUGUACAGUUUGGUGCUGAGUGCUCUGGACGCCCCAGCAGGGCCGGAGAAAAUCUGCAGAGGCAGCAGCAACUGACCCUAACAGAGCAAGAGGCCUGACCUUCACACCUAUGUAACCCAAGGUCACAGAAAUGCUGAGGGGCCAUGUGACUCCAGUGAAGCAGGAGUAUCCAUCCAGCCACAGAGAUGGGACCUGUCCAAAUGGGACCUGUCUGUUCCAAAGGUUAUUCUGCUUGAAAAUCAGGCCAGGCAUGGUGGCUCACAACUGUAAUCCCA
rnacentral:lncRNA from 1 species